rnacentral:rRNA from 1 species
GACAGAGGGUGCAAACGUUGUUCGGAAUUACUGGGCGUAAAGCGCGUGUAGGCGGCAGGGCAUGUCGGAUGUGGAAUCCCGUGGCUCAACCACGGAAGUGCACCCGAAACUGCCCAGCUUGAGUCUCGGAGAGGAAGGCGGAAUGCUUGGUGUAGAGGUGAAAUUCGUAGAUAUCAAGCGGAACACCGGUGGCGAAGGCGGCCUUCUGGACGAUGACUGACGCUGAGACGCGAAAGCGUGGGGAGCAAACAGG